rnacentral:rRNA from 1 species
GACGUAGGGCGCGAGCGUUGUCCGGAUUUAUUGGGCGUAAAGAGCUCGUAGGCGGCUCGUUGCGUCCAUCGUGAAAACUCAGGGCUUAACUCUGAGCUUGCGGUGGAUACGGGCGGGCUAGAGUUCGGUAGGGGAGACUGGAAUUCCUGGUGUAGCGGUGAAAUGCGCAGAUAUCAGGAGGAACACCGGUGGCGAAGGCGGGUCUCUGGGCAGUAACUGACGCUGAGGAGCGAAAGCGUGGGGAGCGAACAGG